AUCUGAAGCUGGAUGUGUUAU
rnacentral:miRNA from 1 species